CGCCGUUGGUCACCGUCGAAUCAUUAAACCCUAAGGUAUUGAAAUGUGAGUAUGUUGUUCGUGGUGAAAUUGUCUCCUUGGCUCAGAAAUUACAGCAAGACUUGCAAGCCAGGUAAAAAUUUAUGAUGUUUUAAAUUCCUGGAAGACCUACCGAGGCAUAUAGUCACAGCCAGGUAACAUUUUUUAUUAUACCUGCGCAUAUUAUAAAUGGGUAAAACUCAGGUGGCUGAAUUUGGAUUGGCUAGACUAGCACUACGAAUGACACUAACGUCUCAUUUAGUGUCAUGUUGUUGGAGAUUUUCAUAGGAAGGAGGCCGAUUGAUCCAACAACUGAAUACAUGGAUAAUAGUUUGGUAGAUUGGGUUCGUAUCCAACCUAUUUCAACUACUAAAGUCGAAUAUUUCAAAAGAAUGAAACUUCUGAUGGCUCCCAACCUGGAUGAGUAACAUUGAGCUUCUUUUGAUUUAAUCGGUUAUCUGAUUAUCCCGAUCUUGUUAUCU